rnacentral:misc_RNA from 1 species
UUUCCGUAGGUGAACCUGCGGAAGGAUCAUUAACUUGUUACUCAGUCAUGCUGACCCGUAAACUGUACAAACCCACGCUGUGUACCUCUCCUGUUGCAUCCGCUGAGCCCGGAGCAUUUCAGAUGAGUUGUCUCUCGCACAGUCAAUUGCUGUGUGGGGUUGGCAAGUCUCGGUGACUGCUCUGGAUUCACAUGCCCAGCGCGGGGAGACUUAACUUCCGAAUUUACUAUUUCAUCUGUCUGAACUAUGUAACAAAAAAAAGAUUGUUAAAACUUUCAGCAACGGAUCUCUUGGUUCUC